ACCAGUAUAUGGUGUAGGCUCAGGGGAGGCAGCGGCUGUAGUAACAGUGGGCCGCGGUGCCACAGACAGGGUUUAAAGUAGCCAUUGUCUACACCGGCAGAAUGGACGCUAAGCAGAGUUUGCUGUUUUCUGGGAGGGAAGACAUCUGGAACUGUGUGUUUCCAGAAGAAAAUGCACCUUUGAAUUUGUGCAACUGGCUCACAAAUUUGUGGGGCUGGUUUAACAUUCUCUGUAAGGCUGUUGUCUUCAUACCUGCUGGUGAGGCUUGGUGUCCACAAGGUGGGCAGCCAGGAAGGGAAGAUCAGGAGCAGGCUGGCACUCACAGGUUUACUCCUGGUUCCUCUGACUUUACUGAUGAGUAUGACCUGCAGAAGCUGGGGCUCUCUGUCAGAGAGUUAAACCGGGACACCUGCUUCAGGAGUCAGCGAGGCUGAAGGAGGAUCCAGGAAGAUCAUCAACUGCAGCCCUGGCGGUUGCUUCGCACCCACCAGAUGGCACAGAGAGGGCAAAGUGGCCACAGACUUGUUCAAGGUGAAGUCAGCCAUUUGUCGGAAUGCCUUGUGGAUCAGUCAUGUUGAGGGAAUCGACUAACGCUGAUUACACUCGCUUGUUGCAGAGGUACUAGGAGAGGGAGGUAGCUGCUGCCCUCCUUUGCCAGGAGCACCGGGGACUUGGAAGCUCUGUAACUGCACUUCCAUUGACUGUGGACUUUAAUGCCUGCUUUUCCUACAAUAGAGCUAAAUUGGCUAAGCUGGUCUUCUAAAGUCAGAUCAUGUCUUUUGUUCUCUAACUAUAACAAAAAAUACAAUAUAGCUUUUUUAAGGGACUGAUUUGUAAUAACUAUAAAGACAAAUCAAGCCCAGUUAGUCAUUGGCUUACAUCUUAUCUCCCACCAUAAUGGCAGAAAUUAAUGGAAUAAAAGUACUCUAUUCAAAGACAAAUUAUCAUUUCACUGAUCUACUUCAGUCAAAAAUGAGUACCUACAGAGAAAAUAAUAUAUGCCAUCAGAAGCAAUUUGGGGAAGUGACUUUUCUGUGGUAAGUUGGUCUCUAAGAUUUAUAAUUUUCCACAUUGAACAGGGUUGAUCUGUUGUGAUCAAUAGAUUACAGAAGAAGUGAUGAUUGUGUCACCCUCCAGAUUAGGUUAUAAAAGAUACAGCAGGCUCCCCUAGAUUGUUCUUCCCUUCUUGGAUUGCUCACUGUGGGGAAGCUGGCUGUUCUGUGAAGAGGAAAUUUAGUCAGCCCUGUGGUUCACAUGGUGGAGGACUGAGACCUUCAGCUGUUAGCCAGCAAGGAACUGAGUUCUGCCUGAAACCACAGGAGUGAGCAUAAAAGCUGAUUUCCAGCACCAGGUAGGCUUCCAGAUGACUGAAUCCCAGCCAACAGCUUGGCAACACCUCAUAAAAGUCUCUCAGCCACAACCAUCCAGCUAAGCUAUUCCCAGUUUCCUGUGCCUCACAAACUGGGUGAAAUAAUAGAAGUUAUCUUAAGCUGCAAAAUUUUGGAAUAAUUUUUUAGGCAGCAAUAGAUAACUGAUGUACUUUUCAUGCAAAUUUCCUGAGUUUGCCUUCUCAGUUCCUGUGGUUUAAUAAAUGACGAAAACUUUUAUUUGCCGCUUUGGGAUUGAAUUUUUAUAUUCAGUGCUGAUGGAAUACAUUGAGCCCUAUACACAUUUGCUGUAUCAGUGACUCCAUAAUUAAAGAAUCUUGCAUUUUCUUUUUCACUUUCUGCCUCAUGGCACCAUACAGCUAUUGCAUGCUUUAAAUUAUAUUCAGUGGAAUUUUGAGUAUCUCUCAUUGACUUCCCCCACUUAGGCACAACAUCUAGCAUUACUGUGGUUAUACUUUCCUGUACAAUCUCUGUUGUCUUAUCUCCAUGCCUUUAUUAACGCCGUUCCUUCUGUCCAAAAUGGUUUUCCCCUCUAGUUCUAUCGGGUGAUAUCUUGUCUAUCUUUCAAGACCCGCUUAUAUAGAACUUUCUUGUCAACCAUCCUUUCUCAAGAGAAGACCUAUCCAUCUGUGUUUCUGUUGCUUAUAAAUGAGAAAAAAGAGCACAGUAUUUUGAAAUUUCUUACUCUUAUUGGCUUGUGUUCCAACAUCAAUGCAUGCUUUAAGAGCAGAGUUCAUAUGAGUUCACGGUUUGUCCUCCAUAGCAUCUAACACUGUUUAGAUACAAAGGAAAUAAUCCCAUUGAGCCAGUUUAAUGUGGUUAGAAUUUGUUGGAGAAGGACUAUUUUCUGUAAAAUCAUGAUUGCUAUUAAGCCCCAAAGAAACAUUACAUAAUUCUGUACCAGAAAUACUUAGGGCCCAGACAAUGUGAGAAUGAAGCUGUUCCACAUGCUAGUUUUGGUUCAGUUGUUUCUUAACACAUUCUUUGCUAGAUAUUCUGUGGAUAGCACUAAGUUGAUUUGAGCGCCCAGAAUGUAUAACAUAUAGUAAAUGUGUGGUGAAAAUAUGUUGAAUAUAUGACUUAAUUAACGGUAGCUUAGAGAAGUGUGAAAUGCUAAGACACGCACACACACGGAAAUAGUCACAAGACCAAAACUGCUCUGUAUUAAGAGAUUUAACAUGCAUUCCUUCAUGAGGCUGCUGAGGAAGUGUCAAUUAAUUAGUUCUCUAGAGUAAAGCUAAGAAUCCCGAAUUGAAGAACUAAUUUUUCCUCUUUUCUUUAGCUGUAGAUUUUCAGAAUUGAAAAUAGUAAUACUGGGGGAAAAAAAUGUUCUUAUCAGCCAGCCUGUAAUAAGUCAACAUAGUCUAUUUUCAUUUUAAUAUGAACAUGCAAAACACUUUUUUUUGUUAAGAAUUGAAACA